GACGAACGCUGGCGGCGUGCUUAACACAUGCAAGUCGAACGGGAUUUAGUAGACAGAAGCCUCGGCUAAAGAUCACUAAUGAGAGUGGCGAACGGGUGAGUAACUCGUGAUCAACCUGCCUAUGACAGUGGGAUAGCCUCCGGAAACCGGGAUUAAUACCGCAUCACAUCGUAGAAACACAUGUGUUAACGGUCAAGGAUUUAUCGGUCAUAGAUGGGCUCGCGUCUGAUUAGCUAGUUGUUGAGACAACAGCCCACCACGGCGACGAUCAGUAGCCGGUAUGAGAGGAUGAACGGCGACAUUGGAACUGAGACACAGUACAAACUCCUACGCGAGGCAGCAGUGGGGAAUAUUGCACAAUGGGGGAAACCCUGAUGCAGCGACGCCGCGUGAACGAAGAAGGUAUUCGUAUCGUAAAGUUCUGUCCUAUGGGAAGAUAAUGACAGUACCAUAGAAGAAAGCUCCGGCUAAAUACGUG
rnacentral:rRNA from 1 species